rnacentral:lncRNA from 1 species
GGCGACCGUAACUAUGCUCCAUCCUGGACCUCUGGGAAGAAGGUCUAAAUGAACGCAUUACCAAGUAAUGAUUUUGUUGCAGCAUUUUAUCGAUAACAAGAAAAGACUAGCUCAAAGAUGCCGCAUGUCAAUGAAGCAGACAGCCCAGCUCCCCACUUCCCACAGGAAUCCCACGAAGAGGAGCUGAGUAUCCAAUUGUAACUGUGGCUUAAGGAUCCAGAUGACAUCUCCAUGAAACCUGUGUCUAUCACUCCAAGCUAUAUGCCCUGGUUUGAGUUGCAUCACAUCCCUGAGGCUGUGAUUACUGAUAAAUAGAAAGGGAGCCUGAAAACAUGGCCUUAAUGGUUAAAAGCAGUAACUGUUCUUGCAGAGGACUCAAGUUAGGUUUCCACCACUCAUGAUGUGAGGCUCACAACUGCCUAUAACGCCAACUAUAGGCACCCAACUACAACUCUUGGCCCCUACAAGCACUGAACUCAAAUAUACCUACCACACAGAGACACAAGCACAUAGACAUAAUAAAUAAUAUUGUAAUGGA